rnacentral:tRNA from 1 species
UCAGGAGGUGGCUGAGUUUGUAAGGCGGUGGAUUGUAGCUCUAUUUACGGGGGUUCCUCCCUCCUGAU